rnacentral:rRNA from 1 species
CUACCUACGGGGCGCAGCAGUAGGGAAUUUUCGUCAAUGGGCGCAAGCCUGAACGAGCAAUGCCGCGUGAACGAGGAAGGUCUUCGGAUCGUAAAGUUCUGUUGAAGGGGAAAAAGAGCGGAGAGAGGAAAUGGUCUCCGAUUGAUAUUACCCUUCGAGGAAGUCACGGCUAACUACGUGCCAGCAGCCGCGGUAAUACGUAGGGGGCAAGCGUUAUCCGGAUUUACUGGGUGUAAAGGGAGCGUAGACGGCAGUGCAAGUCUGAAGUGAAAGCCCCGGGCUUAACCCGGGAAUUGCUUUGGAAA